CCUACGGUAGGCAGCAGUGGGGAAUAUUGCGCAAUGGGCGAAAGCCUGACGCAGCGACGCCGCGUGAGGGAUGAAGGUCUUCGGAUCGUAAACCUCUGUCAGCAGGGAAGAACGGGCACUGUGCUAAUCAGCAGUGAAUUGACGGUACCUGCAAAGGAAGCACCGGCUAACUCAGUGCCAGCAGCCGCGGUAAUACGGAGGGUGCGAGCGUUAAUCGGAAUUACUGGGCGUAAAGCGCUCGUAGGCGGUCUGUCAAGUCAAGGGUGAAAUCCCCGCGCUCAACGUGGGAACUGCCUUUGAAACUGGCAAACUGGAGUGUGUGAGAGGAUAGUGGAAUUCCAGGUGUAGGAGUGAAAUCCGUAGAUAUCUGGAGGAACAUCAGUGGCGAAGGCGACUAUCUGGCACAUCACUGACGCUGAGGAGCGAAAGCGUGGGUAGCAAACAGGAUUAGAUACCCCAGUAGUC
rnacentral:rRNA from 1 species